GAUCCAGUCGGCGGAAGAGACCCUGGACGCGCGCCGGGCCUUCCCGCGGAUCUCCCAGCUGCGGCGG
rnacentral:rRNA from 1 species